GACGAACUGUGCAAACGUUAUUCGGAAUCACUGGGCUUGAAGAGUGCGUAGGCGGUUUCGUAAGUAGGGUGUGAAAGCCCCCGGCUCAACCGGGGAAUUGCGCCCUAAACUGCGAGGCUGGAGUGAGGUAGGGGUGUGUGGAACUUCCAGUGGAGCGGUGAAAUGCGCAGAUAUCAGGAAGAACACCGAUGGCGAAGGCAGUUCUCUGGGACGGUACUGACGCUGAGACGCGAAAGCGUGGGGAGCGAACAGG
rnacentral:rRNA from 1 species